AUUGAACGCUGGCGGCAGGCUUAACACAUGCAAGUCGAGCGGGGAAAGGUAGCUUGCUACCUGACCUAGCGGCGGACGGGUGAGUAAUGCUUAGGAAUCUGCCUAUUAGUGGGGGACAACAUCUCGAAAGGGAUGCUAAUACCGCAUACGUCCUACGGGAGAAAGCAGGGGACCUUCGGGCCUUGCGCUAAUAGCUGAGCCUAAGUCGGAUUAGCUAGUUGGUGGGGUAAAGGCCUACCAAGGCGACGAUCUGUAGCGGGUCUGGGAGGAUGAUCCGCCACACUGGGACUGAGACACGGCCCAGACUCCUACGGGAGGCAGCAGUGGGGAAUUUUUGACCAUGGGGGGAACCCUGAUCCAGCCAUGCCGCGUGUGGGAAGAAGGCCUUUUGGUUGUAAAGCACUUUAAGCGAGGAGGAGGCUACCGAGAUUAAUACUCUUGGAUAGUGGACGUUACUCGCAGAAUAAGCACCGGCUAACUCUGUG
rnacentral:rRNA from 1 species